ensembl:lncRNA
AAAAUGCUAAGGGCAAACCUUGGUUACAGGAAGGUGAACAGUAGACGGAGACUUCCUUUCCCAACAAUAUUGGCAGAGUGAAUAUCCUGAAAAACUAUCCUGCUGCAAAGCUCCUAAGACUAUGAGUAUGUGGUAGCAGAGAAUACAGUGACAACUGGAAUGGUUUGGUGCCACCAUCUUGAUUCAUCUUAAGGCACCAAAAAUUUUACCCACUACUGUCUUUGUACCAUCGGAGCAAGCGUCAACACGAUGAAAAAGAAAAGGACUGUCUAUUCCUCCAUAACCAAGCAUUCAGAAGACGCUGAUGUGGCACUGUCCCCACUGCGAUUCUGGGUCUACAUCUCUAAUGUGUCUUUGGGCCCAACGCUGCUCUCAACCCAAACCUGCCAUUGUCCACGGCUAGGAGUUCAUUCAGAUGAUACUAGAACAACUAGAAAGGAAGAAAAUUUGGACACAAAAAAUAGAAACAGAGACAAAGAAGAGAAACUACCAUGUGAAGACAGAGAUAGAAAUCGGAGUUAGCCCACAAGCCAACAAUGCCUGGGGCUACCAGAAGCUGGAAAAGCCAUCAUUUAUCAUAAUCUGACAUAUAAAGCACAUUGUACUAGACUGGAUGCUUUAACUGCCCAGAAUCUCUCUACGUGAAGGAGCAGCUCCUGAACUCUGCCUCUGCCAAUGCAUCAUUCAAAAUGAUCGCCAUGGGGCCAACAUUGGAACAAUGCAACUGUGUCUUCGGGAUCCAAGAUUGGAUGGUUACCAUUGUCUUCAAAAUGAUCUUGGGUUAUGAUCACACAAGUCCUAACAAGAAAUGAGUUCUUCAGAAUUGUCAACACAUAAAGAUUUAAAAAACAAGAUUUAGCGAUGGAAGAUAAUUUGCCCAAAGUCAUUGAUGAGAAAGUGGCAGAGCUAGAAUUCAAAAUCCAGUUUAUCCAACUCUGAAGGAAGGACGCCAACAACUUAUGUUCGUAGAGAGAGAGAGAUGUCAUGUGGCCUAUACAUUGUUGGAAACUGAGUUGUCAAAAUGAUUCCAAAAGAUGGUUUAUUUCAGUAAGAAAAUAUACCAAUCCUGGAGGCCUAAAUUUGCCCCAAAAAUGUCACAUUGAACUCUAACAUCCUUAUGCUGAUAGAGAUGGCAUCUCUGCUCAGGUCAAGUUCAGCUGUGAAGAGCAGAUGACAAAGUCACAGUGGAUGAAAAGGUUGGGCUUGCUUCUCUCAGUCCACUGGCCUGUUUUUGAUCCUUCUAAGGAUUGAUGCCUUACCUCAUCACCCUGGGAGGCAAGCAAAGUCAAUGCUUGGUCUUUGGCAAGGUAUUCUGUGCUGUUUAUGAUGCCACAGCUAUUUGGCAGUGAUGCCUGCCCCUCCCACCCUCAAUGUCAGGCAGCCUGUAUCUCUGCCAGCACCAUCAGUGGGGAGAGGAACUAGUACUUCAAAGGUCUCAGUGCGGCUCAUAAAAGAUGAGGAGGAUUGACCCAAGCCAAGAUGAAGAUUGUACAUUUGGCAGUUAUGUUUGGAUAUGAUGAUGAGAUAACCCAUAGAAAUGCAGGAUUAACUGGAAGGAAGUCUGGAUUUAAUAGCCCUUGAGCAGGCUAAAAAUAAAUGUCAAAGAGAAUUAAAAUCCCUGGGGGAAAACACUUGAUAUCUCACACCCAUCAAAGAAGGAGAAGAAAAGGAGGACAAAGCAAAUAGUACCACUCAAAUAGUACCACUUAGGAUUCAAAGAGUUGACUACAGAUGAUAAUAACGUCAAACAUCCAGAGAAUGAAAAUGAAAUGAGGGAGGGAAAUGAAAUACUCAAAAGCCAUGAUCAGCAAGGUGAUGAAGAACUGAAGGCACUGCGAAAGUCUGGGGACAGUGAGCAAGAAUAGAGACUCUGAAGGGUUUAAAAGGGAACAAUUAUUGCAGGAAACUAGAAACCAGAAAUCAGCUGGAAACUCACUACAAGUUUCAAGCUUUUUCAAAGAAGAGGGCAAAACUGAAUAUGAGUUCAAAGGACAAUUAAAUAUCCAAAGUCCACUGCCAAUGCAAGUUGGAACUAACCUCUUUUGCUCCCAGAUGGGAAGACUUUCAAUUCCUAGGUAUGAAAGUCUUUGACUCCAGUAGCCCGUACCUGGCUGCAGCGAGAGGGGAAGCUAUUAUCAGACUUCGUGUUUAGUCAUACCCUGUUCCAAAAGCCAUAUAAAGUGUCUUACAAGAAAAUAGAAACAUUGCAACACGACAAUAAAAAUUGGAAGAAAGUGAAAGAAUUCAGGCAAAAAGAGAACAAAGUAGAGCUUAUGAAACAAAGGCAAAAAUAAAUAACACACAAAUAAAUCUUUACAAUAAAAUCUGACAAGAAUGGUUUCCAG